rnacentral:rRNA from 1 species
UACGUAGGGCGCAAGCGUUGUCCGGAAUCAUUGGGCGUAAAGAGCUCGUAGGCGGCCUGUUGCGUCCGCUGUGAAAUCCCGGGGCUUAACCCCGGGCGUGCAGUGGAUACGGGCUGGCUGGAGGCAGGCAGGGGAGAACGGAAUUCCCGGUGUAGCGGUGAAAUGCGCAGAUAUCGGGAGGAACACCGGUGGCGAAGGCGGCUCACUGGCUCAUUACCGACGCUCAGGCGCGAUAGCGUGGGGAUCAAACAGG